rnacentral:rRNA from 1 species
CCUACGGGUGGCAGCAGUGGGGGAUAUUGGACAAUGGGGGGAACCCUGAUCCAGCGACGCCGCGUGAGUGAAGAAGUACCUCGGUAUGUAAAGCCCUAUCAGCAGGGGAGAAAAUGACGGUACCUGACUAAGAAGCCCCGGCUAACUACGUGCCAGCAGCCGCGGUAAUACGUAGGGGGCAAGCGUUAUCCGGAUUUACUGGGUGUAAAGGGAGCGUAGUCGGGGCAGCAAGGCUGAUGGGAAAGGUCGGGGGCCUACCCCGGGACUGCAGUUGAAACUGUUGAACUGGAGUACAGGAGAGGUAAGCGGAAUUCCUAGUGUAGCGGUGAAAUGCAUAGAUAUUAGGAGGAACACCAGUGGCGAAGGCAGCUUACUGGACUGUAACUGACGUUGAGGCUCGAAAGCGUGGGGAGCGAACAGGAUUAGAUACCCCAGUAGUC